rnacentral:rRNA from 1 species
GACGAACCGUGCGAACGUUGUUCGGGAUCACUGGGCUUAAAGGGCGCGCAGGCGGACGUCCAAGUCCGGGGUGAAAUCCCCCGGCUCAACCGGGGGACUGCCUGGGAUACUGGACGUCUCGAGGGAGGUAGGGGCGCGCGGAACUUCCGGUGGAGCGGUGAAAUGCGUAGAUAUCGGAAGGAACGCCGGUGGCGAAAGCGGCGCGCUGGACCUCUGCUGACGCUGAGGCGCGAAAGCCAGGGGAGCGAACGGG